rnacentral:rRNA from 1 species
AUUGAACGCUGGCGGCAGGCCUAACACAUGCAAGUCGAGCGGAUGAAGGGAGCUUGCUCCUGGAUUCAGCGGCGGACGGGUGAGUAAUGCCUAGGAAUCUGCCUGGUAGUGGGGGAUAACGUCCGGAAACGGGCGCUAAUACCGCAUACGUCCUGAGGGAGAAAGUGGGGGAUCUUCGGACCUCACGCUAUCAGAUGAGCCUAGGUCGGAUUAGCUAGUUGGUUGGGUAAAUGCCUACUAAGGCGACGAUCCGUAACUGGUCUGAGAGGAUGAUCAGUCACACUGGAACUGAGACACGGACCAGACUCCUACGGGAGGCAGCAGUGGGGAAUAUUGGACAAUGGGCGAAAGCAUGAUACAGCAAUGCCGCGUGUGUGAAGAAGGUCUUCGGAUUGUAAAGCACUUUAAGUUGGGAGGAAGGGAAGUAAGUUAAUACCUUGCUGUAUUGACGUUACCAACAGAAUAAGCACCGGCUAACUUCGUG